rnacentral:rRNA from 1 species
CCUACGGGAGGCAGCAGUGGGGAAUAUUGGACAAUGGGCGCAAGCCUGAUCCAGCAAUGCCGCGUGAGUGAUGAAGGCCUUAGGGUUGUAAAGCUCUUUCGCACGCGACGAUGAUGACGGUAGCGUGAGAAGAAGCCCCGGCUAACUUCGUGCCAGCAGCCGCGGUAAUACGAAGGGGGCUAGCGUUGUUCGGAAUUACUGGGCGUAAAGGGCGCGUAGGCGGCCUGUUUAGUCAGAAGUGAAAGCCCCGGGCUCAACCUGGGAAUAGCUUUUGAUACUGGCAGGCUUGAGUUCCGGAGAGGAUGGUGGAAUUCCCAGUGUAGAGGUGAAAUUCGUAGAUAUUGGGAAGAACACCGGUGGCGAAGGCGGCCAUCUGGACGGACACUGACGCUGAGGCGCGAAAGCGUGGGGAGCAAACAGGAUUAGAUACCCCGGUAGUCCACGCCGUAAACGAUGAAUGCUAGACGUCGGGGUNCAUGCACUUCGGUGUCGCCGCUAACGCAUUAAGCAUUCCGCCUGGGAUACGGCCGCAAGGUUAAACNCAAAGNUAUGCGNGNGAGAGCGACGACGACGACGAGAGAGAG